ensembl:lncRNA
CGUGUCCUGGGUGUGCAUGGGAAAAAACCUUUGGAGAGAAGCCACGUAUGGUGCCAGAUAAAGGGACUGUUUGAGUGUCCUAAGUUCAGAGGUGAAGCACAGCUGACAGGACUUCAAAUGUGAGGCUGAGUCCUCUGAGACCUCCAGGAUGAAGCAACCCUUUCAGGAUGGCAGAGCAACCAGCUGAGAAAGGUGUCUGUGUUCCAGUCCCCAGGAGCUGCCCAGCCAUCUCUUGGAUGCCUUUUACCCAGGCUAUUGGUCCAAGGACUCACCCUGAAGCCAGCAUUCUCUCUGCAGACACUAAGAAUUAACAACCGUGGCCCAGUUCGAC